GCCUUGCUGAACCUCAUUCAGGUGGCCUUGGCCCAUCGCUCCAGCCUGUCCACAUCCCUCUGUAGAGCCUUCCUACCCUCCAGCAGGUCCACACUCCUGCCCAGCUUGGUGUCACCUGCAAAUUU